CAACUGCCCCAGCAGACAUCCACAUCUGUCAGUUAAUUAAUGUGGAGGAGACAAUGAGGUCUGUGGUCCUCUACCAUUUGCAUCUUGCGUUUGGCACUCCACUUUUCGAUGAGCUUAUGAGCUCUUAUUGUAAUUAGGGGACAAUGAAGUCAAGUGGCGUUGGCAAGACAGGGAGUACCGCUUGCAUAUUCGAGCGUCCCUUGAAUGCCAAAUGCUUAUUAAAGUCGAAGAAAUAUUAUCAUAAUUAAUGCCCCGAACAGAAGUGCAAUACGGACCGCAGAAGUUUGUCCAGUUCUCUAGCUGGAAAUUUAUGCUAAGUCUGGAUUAUUUUACAAUAUAUUCUACACGUACGAUUAGGCCGACAAAGAGAGAGAGUAGUGUUAGACUUGGCACUAGACAUGUGAUAAAUAUUGCGGUCAAUAUUUCUCAUAAAUUCAACAAUACGAGUUCAAAAUUGCAGGCAGCAAUUUAUAUAAUUCCCCAACGUUGUGCAACAUGUUACUGGCCAAAUUAAUAUGCGGCCGUCUGCUUGUGCAACUCGCUUUCUGGCCUUAACCCUUUAAGAAGCUUAUACAAAUUGUGACGAUGACAGCGUCUGCCAAACUGGAGAAGACUGAAAUAACAUAUUCCCGACCAGACGAAGGUUGCCUAAUUUAAUGCAGAAAAACGCACACGCAAGCAACAGACGUGGCUGGAAAAGUUUGACAGGAGUUAGGAAUAUUUUAUUACCCACUGAAGCAUUUUCACUACACUUUUAUAUGGAAUAAUCUAAACUGUUCUUGGUCAAAGCUAACCAGAAGUCGGACACACCCUGCAGGCACCCUGGAGAACAUUAUGUUAGCCCAAACAGACGCCCCAAGGGGAAGCAACCAUCAAACCUUCCAGAGAACGAGGGAAACAGCAGGAUCCGCAACCAAGCGGAGUAUAAAUUAACAUAAUUUUCAUAUACACGCGCCAAAAGUUGCAACCACACCUAAAUCUAGCCAAAGGAAAAAGAAAUGGCGGGGGGACACAAAAAACCAAGGAUGGGAAACCUUAAGAGACAUAUGAAUUGCUUAACUUAAGGAAAAAUAUCAAAGAAAUUGUGUGUGUGUGUAGGGGUAUGGAGGAUGGGAAAAUGACAGUGUCCCACCCAAAUGACAGUUAUUAAUAUAUAUGCAAAAAAAAGUGUCUCGAAAUUGUUGCUGCCUAUUUUUUUAGGGAUAAAUGCUGGAAGGACGCCAAGUGUCGCCGGCGAUUUGCGAGACAUUUAUCAAACCGCAGAGAAAUUAUGCAGACAGACUGAAAUUUCGCCUAGCCAAAUCA
rnacentral:sRNA from 1 species